UGCAGUCGAGCGGACAGAUGGGAGCUUGCUCCCUGAUGUUAGCGGCGGACGGGUGAGUAACACGUGGGUAACCUGCCUGUAAGACUGGGAUAACUCCGGGAAACCGGGGCUAAUACCGGAUGCUUGUUUGAACCGCAUGGUUCAAACAUAAAAGGUGGCUUCGGCUACCACUUACAGAUGGACCCGCGGCGCAUUAGCUAGUUGGUGAGGUAAUGGCUCACCAAGGCGACGAUGCGUAGCCGACCUGAGAGGGUGAUCGGCCACACUGGGACUGAGACACGGCCCAGACUCCUACGGGAGGCAGCAGUAGGGAAUCUUCCGCAAUGGACGAAAGUCUGACGGAGCAACGCCGCGUGAGUGAUGAAGGUUUUCGGAUCGUAAAGCUCUGUUGUUAGGGAAGAACAAGUACCGUUCGAAUAGGGCGGUACCUUGACGGUACCUAACCAGAAAGCCACGGCUAACUACGUGCCAGCAGCCGCGGUAAUACGUAGGUGGCAAGCGUUGUCCGGAAUUAUUGGGCGUAAAGGGCUCGCAGGCGGUUUCUUAAGUCUGAUGUGAAAGCCCCCGGCUCAACCGGGGAGGGUCAUUGGAAACUGGGGAACUUGAGUGCAGAAGAGGAGAGUGGAAUUCCACGUGUAGCGGUGAAAUGCGUAGAGAUGUGGAGGAACACCAGUGGCGAAGGCGACUCUCUGGUCUGUAACUGACGCUGAGGA
rnacentral:rRNA from 2 species